GACGAACGCUGGCGGCGUGCCUAAUACAUGCAAGUCGAACGCUUCUUUCCUCCCGAGUGCUUGCACUCAAUUGGAAAGAGGAGUGGCGGACGGGUGAGUAACACGUGGGUAACCUACCCAUCAGAGGGGGAUAACACUUGGAAACAGGUGCUAAUACCGCAUAACAGUUUAUGCCGCAUGGCAUAAGAGUGAAAGGCGCUUUCGGGUGUCGCUGAUGGCUGGACCCGCGGUGCAUUAGCUAGUUGGGGAGGUAACGGCUUACCAAGGCAACGAUGCAUAGCCGACCUGAGAGGGUGAUCGGCCACACUGGGGCUGAGACGCGGCCCAGACUCCGACGUGAGGCAGCAGUAGGUAAUCUUCGGCAAUGGACGAAAGUCUGACCGAGCAACGCCGCGUGAGUGAAGAAGGUUUUCGGAUCGUAAAACUCUGUUGUUAGAGAAGAACAAGGACGUUAGUAACUGAACGUCCCCGGACGGUAUCGAACCAGAAAGCCACGGCGAACUACGU
rnacentral:rRNA from 1 species